rnacentral:rRNA from 1 species
AGCAGCCGCGGUAAUACGUAGGGUGCGAGCGUUAAUCGGAAUUACUGGGCGUAAAGCGUGCGCAGGCGGUUCGCUAAGACCGAUGUGAAAUCCCCGGGCUCAACCUGGGAACUGCAUUGGUGACUGGCGGGCUAGAGUAUGGCAGAGGGGGGUAGAAUUCCACGUGUAGCAGUGAAAUGCGUAGAGAUGUGGAGGAAUACCGAUGGCGAAGGCAGCCCCCUGGGCCAAUACUGACGCUCAUGCACGAAAGCGUGGGGAGCAAACAGGAUUAGAUACCCUGGUAGUCCACGCCCUAAACGAUGUCAACUAGUUGUUGGGGAUUCAUUUCCUUAGUAACGUAGCUAACGCGUGAAGUUGACCGCCUGGGGAGUACGGUCGCAAGAUUAAAACUCAAAGGAAUUGACGGGGACCCGCACAAGCGGUGGAUGAUGUGGAUUAAUUCGAUGCAACGCGAAAAACCUUACCUACCCUUGACAUGGUCGGAAUCCUGAAGAGAUUCGGGAGUGCUCGAAAGAGAACCGGCGCACAGGUGCUGCAUGGCUGUCGUCAGCUCGUGUCGUG